GUCAGACACUUAUCGUUUUUUGCCUCCCCCAGGGAUAGGAGCGGGCAAGUCCUGACGGACACCUCUGCGCCCCAUACCCUACACCCCAGCCUGGCAUAUAGUUCGCCCGCAACUCCGCAGGCGCGCGCUCCGCAGUGCGGUGGGACCAAGUAGUUCACUCUGGAGGCAGUGGAGACAGGAGCCACGCUGGGACAAGGCCAGCUUUUGGGCGACUCAAGCUCAUGCCCGGAGGUCUCCACAGCAUUCUGUUUCAGGAGUCGUGUGGAUGCAACACUAUACAAGUACCACCAACUGGUUGACUUCAACACAAAAGUUAAUUUCUCAUUGUUCUGGAGACUGGAAAAUCCAAGACAAGGUGCCGGCAGAUUCAGUGUCUGGUGGGGAGAACCCUCUUCCUGGUUCAUGGACAGCCAUCAUUUCACUGUGUCUUCACAUGGUGGAAGGGGUCUCACAGGUGGAAGUACCAGGUGGACUCCCAGAAGGAUCCAUGCCUCAGUGUUCCAGAAUCUCAGGCAGAAAGCAGGAGACAUUCAAUGCAGCGCCCAGACUUGCAAAGCCAGUGCAUACAGCCAAAGUUAAGAGAUGUUCGAGAAGAUGUAAUGUGGGGCACAAGAGUAUCUCAAUCAGAAAUUUCUUGAAGGACUCUUCACUGUAUUGUUUGGUAAAAGAAAUGGAUUUCUGUCCCCCCCCCCCCCCCACACACACACACAUGAACACAUACUUCUUUGUAAUAUUGGGCUUACACUGGUUAUUUUUAUGGAAUUCCAGCCCGGCCAUGGGCUCCCUACACAUGACAUUUAAAGAUAUCCCAGAAUAUCCCCUACCUCCCAUCCUUGGCUGCAUCCCCAUUCCCUUUGCUCAGGAUUUAAUGCAAUUUCAGUCAUUGUACAAAACUGACAGUGUGUUGAAGAGAGAAAGAGAAAAGAGAUAGUGCAGGUGGCCUUGGGUGGAAGGGAGUGAAAGAGAAAUCCUAAGGCUGUGAAGCUGAACAAGCAAGGUGGCUAAUGAGUUAUAAAGAUGAAGGUAGAAAAACAUAGAAUGUCCUUCACAUAAAAAUGUUCAAGCUGUGAAUUUAGAUGGAUAUUAGUUCAAGCUGUGAAUUUAGAUGGAUAUUAAGCUACAAGCAAGGCAAAAGCAUAUCAGUGUGCUUGCCAACAGGUGGCACCAGUGGGUAAACUUGUGAUGCUUAUGUGAGUUUUGGGUUUGGGGGUUUUUCCCUGCCUUCCUUCUUUCUCUCCUUCCUUCUUUCCUUCCUUCCUUCCUUCCUUCCUUCUUUCCUUCCUUCCUUCCCUAUCUCAUUUCCUUCCUUCCCUUUUUCACUC